UGAAGCCCCGGAGCGGGUUUGGGUUGCAGUUUCCUUGCGCGGGGGAGGCUGUCCCCUCCUCGCCAGCGCCAGGCUCCUCCCUCUCUCGCAGAUGACACUAGAACCUCCUUAAGUUGCGUCGCGCCACAGCUGUCUGCGAACACUGAGCUGCCUGGCGCCGUCUUGAUACUUUCAGAAAGAAUGCAUUCCCUGUAAAAAAAAAAAAAAUACUGAGAGAGGGAGAGAGGAAAAGAGAGAGAGACGGGGAGAGCGCAAGACAGAGCAAGCCACGCAAUCUGACGGAGCACUCUCUGCUCCAGGUCACACGCCUCCUCCUCCUCUCUGCUCCUCGCUAACCAGGUGACUCGAGGAGGGCCUCCGCCUUGGAGCCGCUGGAGAAGAGCCUCACUUGCAGAAUUCCAGCUGUCCUCGCCCCCCUUUGCAGUUUGGGGCCCCUUUAUCCUCUGUACCUGUUUUUUU